rnacentral:rRNA from 1 species
GACGAACGCUGGCGGCGUGCUUAACACAUGCUAGUCGAACGGAAAGGCCUGCUUUCCCUUGUGGAUUGCGGGUACUCGAGUGGCGAACGGGUGAGUAACACGUGAGUGAUCUGCCCCCAACUUGGGUAUAAGCCUGGGAAACUGGGUCUAAUUCCCGAUAGGACUGCAGGGUGGUGCCUGUGGUGGAAAACGAUUUUCUAGUGGUUGGGGAUGAGCUCGCGGCCUAUCAGCUUGUUGGUGGGGUAAUGGCCUACCAAGGCGGCGACGGGUAGCCGGCCUGAGAGGGUGGACGGCCACAUUGGGACUGAGAUACGGCCCAGACUCCUACGGGAGGCAGCAGUGGGGAAUAUUGCACAAUGGGCGGAAGCCUGAUGCAGCGACGCCGCGUGGGGGAUGACGGCCUUCGGGUUGUAAACUCCUUUCGACCGCGAGGAAGCCACCUGGUUGGAAGGGUGGUGACGGUAGUGGUAGAAGAAGCACCGGCUAACUACGUG